AAGGUCCACGUUCUUGUAUUUGAACUGAAAAGUAACCCUUCUCUCAGGAUUCAUCUUGCUAACAAGUCUUGGAUUCCUGAAAUAAUGCGAAACAACUAAGAGUUUUGCUUUUUAUGCAUAUGCAAUGAAUGAAUGGAUGCAAUGCCUUUUUUUAUUUUUUUAUUUUUUUUGGAUAGGUUCAACGGUUCGAGGUAUGGAUAAAUUUGAUUGCUUUCCAAAACGGGGUUCUCACCGGGUAUGAUCUAGGGCUUUGUUACAAAGGAUCCCCAGAGUCAUUGAUUCACAAGACUGUUUGACGCUUACGGGAAAUACUUCCCGGUCGUCAACUCCAUCAAGGGAAUCUAUUCUGGGUGAGGUUCUCGUACCGACUCUUACGAAGCAUACACCUCGCGAGUCCGUACUACGUAACCAUCGACUGGGUUCUAGACAGGGUACUCAGAGUCCUGGAUUCAAAAGACUGUUUGACGCUUACG
rnacentral:lncRNA from 1 species